UACGUAGGGUGCGAGCGUUGUCCGGAAUUAUUGGGUGUAAAGAGCUCGUAGGCGGCUUGUCGCGUCGGAUGUGAAAGCCCGGGGCUUAACUCCGGGUCUGCAUUCGAUACGGGCAGGCUAGAGUUCGGUAGGGGAGAUCGGAAUUCCUGGUGUAGCGGUGAAAUGCGCAGAUAUCAGGAGGAACACCGGUGGCGAAGGCGGAUCUCUGGGCCGAUACUGACGCUGAGGAGCGAAAGCGUGGGGAGCGAACAGG
rnacentral:rRNA from 1 species